CAGUCGCCGCGGUAAUACGGAGGGUCCGAGCGUUGUCCGGAAUUAUUGGGCGUAAAGGGCUCGUAGGCGGUUUGUCGCGUCGGGAGUGAAAUCCAGCAGCUUAACUGCUGGCCUGCUUUCGAUACGGGCAGACUUGAGGCAUUCAGGGGAGAACGGAAUUCCUGGUGUAGCGGUGAAAUGCGCAGAUAUCAGGAGGAACACCGGUGGCGAAGGCGGUUCUCUGGGAAUGUUCUGACGCUGAGGAGCGAAAGUGUGGGGAGCGAACAGGAUUAGAUACCCCCGUAGUCCCUGUCUCUUAUAC
rnacentral:rRNA from 1 species